rnacentral:tRNA from 1 species
GAUAUAGUGCCGGAAAUAAACGGUUAACUCUGAUGACGUUAAAUAUGGACACCCUCCCUAUAUCU